AUGAACGCUGGCGGCGUGCCUAAUACAUGCAAGUCGAGCGAACGGACGAGAAGCUUGCUUCUCUGAUGUUAGCGGCGGACGGGAGAGUAACACGUGGAUCACCUACCUAUAAGACUGGGAUAACUUCGGGAAACCGGAGCUAAUACCGGAUAAUAUUUUGAACCGCAUGGUUCAAAGGUGAAAGACGGUCUUGCUGUCACUUAUAGAUGGAUCCGCGCUGCAUUAGCUAGUUGGUAAGGUAACGGCUUACCAAGGCAACGAUGCAUAGCCGACCUGAGAGGGUGAUGGCCCACCCGGGAACUGAGACACGGCCAAGACUCCGACGGGGGGCAGCAGUAGGGACUCUUCCGCAAGGCAGGAAAGCCUGACGGAGCAACGCGGGGGGAGUGAUGAAGGUCUUAGGAUGGUAAAACUCUGUUAGUAGGGAGGAACAUAUGUGUAAGGAACUGUGCACAUCUUGACGGUACCUAAUCAGAAAGCCACGGCUAACUACGUG
rnacentral:rRNA from 1 species